CCCUAAUCCCCAGUAGCUUGGUUAAUUAACUAUGAAAUCUAAUGAAAAUUAUUCACAGUUGAUAGGAGAAAACUAUAGAUAUUCUAUUCAUUUAUUGACUUUUUACAAUCAAGAGGACUAAAACAUGUUGUUUCCAAUUACGCCUGCCAAAGGGAAAUGGUGAUUUUUUUGCUUUGUCUGAACACAGUGGUUCCAUCAGCUCCUUUUCUAAACCCUUCUGUGAGAACAAGCUGGUUCUUCUGGGAAUAAAGAACUGCCUACAGCUAUUUGCACUCAUCUGUUCUUCUCUACAUACGUGCUUGGUCUUUUCCACACACAACCAGCGGGUGCUAGUGGACAGGCCAGGCAGCGUUAGUCAGGCAACUGGCUAUGAUAUGAAAAUAAUGCUUCUUGGCCUGAUGUAAAAUGAGGAAUUGCACAAGGUAUCUUCCAUUCUACACCCUUUAUGAGAAAAUCGGGAGAGUCUGGCCUUCAGAAUUUCAUUACAAGGGACCAUAAGGUAAAGUCUUAAUAAUAAGCCUCCUCAUGUGGUGUUUAAGAUAGACCUAACUUCAUUCUAGAAUCUACCCAAUAUUUGGAAUGUUGUGAUUCUGAAGCUUACAGGUACAGUGUUGUUGUAAACUUAAU
rnacentral:lncRNA from 1 species